GGGCCAUAGCUCAGGGCUAGAGCAUCUGCUUUGCAUGCAGAAGGUUCCCGGUUCAAUCCCUGGCAUGUCCU
rnacentral:tRNA from 1 species